UUAAGCGACUAAGCGUACACGGUGGAUGCCCUGGCAGUCAGAGGCGAUGAAGGACGUGCUAAUCUGCGAUAAGCGUCGGUAAGGUGAUAUGAACCGUUAUAACCGGCGAUUUCCGAAUGGGGAAACCCAGUGUGAUUCGUCACACUAUCAUUAACUGAAUCCAUAGGUUAAUGAGGCGAACCGGGGGAACUGAAACAUCUAAGUACCCCGAGGAAAAGAAAUCAACCGAGAUUCCCCCAGUAGCGGCGAGCGAACGGGGAGCAGCCCAGAGCCUGAAUCAGUGUGUGUGUUAGUGGAAGCGUCUGGAAAGGCGUGCGAUACAGGGUGACAGCCCCGUACACAAAAAUGCACAUACUGUGAGCUCGAUGAGUAGGGCGGGACACGUGGUAUCCUGUCUGAAUAUGGGGGGACCAUCCUCCAAGGCUAAAUACUCCUGACUGACCGAUAGUGAACCAGUACCGUGAGGGAAAGGCGAAAAGAACCCCGGCGAGGGGAGUGAAAAAGAACCUGAAACCGUGUACGUACAAGCAGUGGGAGCACAGAGCAAUCUGUGUGACUGCGUACCUUUUGUAUAAUGGGUCAGCGACUUAUAUUCUGUAGCAAGGUUAACCGAAUAGGGGAGCCGAAGGGAAACCGAGUCUUAACUGGGCGUUAAGUUGCAGGGUAUAGACCCGAAACCCGGUGAUCUAGCCAUGGGCAGGUUGAAGGUUGGGUAACACUAACUGGAGGACCGAACCGACUAAUGUUGAAAAAUUAGCGGAUGACUUGUGGCUGGGGGUGAAAGGCCAAUCAAACCGGGAGAUAGCUGGUUCUCCCCGAAAGCUAUUUAGGUAGCGCCUCGUGAAUUCAUCUCCGGGGGUAGAGCACUGUUUCGGCAAGGGGGUCAUCCCGACUUACCAACCCGAUGCAAACUGCGAAUACCGGAGAAUGUUAUCACGGGAGACACACGGCGGGUGCUAACGUCCGUCGUGAAGAGGGAAACAACCCAGACCGCCAGCUAAGGUCCCAAAGUCAUGGUUAAGUGGGAAACGAUGUGGGAAGGCCCAGACAGCCAGGAUGUUGGCUUAGAAGCAGCCAUCAUUUAAAGAAAGCGUAAUAGCUCACUGGUCGAGUCGGCCUGCGCGGAAGAUGUAACGGGGCUAAACCAUGCACCGAAGCUGCGGCAGCGACACUAUGUGUUGUUGGGUAGGGGAGCGUUCUGUAAGCCUGUGAAGGUGUACUGUGAGGUAUGCUGGAGGUAUCAGAAGUGCGAAUGCUGACAUAAGUAACGAUAAAGCGGGUGAAAAGCCCGCUCGCCGGAAGACCAAGGGUUCCUGUCCAACGUUAAUCGGGGCAGGGUGAGUCGACCCCUAAGGCGAGGCCGAAAGGCGUAGUCGAUGGGAAACAGGUUAAUAUUCCUGUACUUGGUGUUACUGCGAAGGGGGGACGGAGAAGGCUAUGUUGGCCGGGCGACGGUUGUCCCGGUUUAAGCGUGUAGGCUGGUUUUCCAGGCAAAUCCGGAAAAUCAAGGCUGAGGCGUGAUGACGAGGCACUACGGUGCUGAAGCAACAAAUGCCCUGCUUCCAGGAAAAGCCUCUAAGCAUCAGGUAACAUCAAAUCGUACCCCAAACCGACACAGGUGGUCAGGUAGAGAAUACCAAGGCGCUUGAGAGAACUCGGGUGAAGGAACUAGGCAAAAUGGUGCCGUAACUUCGGGAGAAGGCACGCUGAUAUGUAGGUGAAGCGACUUGCUCGUGGAGCUGAAAUCAGUCGAAGAUACCAGCUGGCUGCAACUGUUUAUUAAAAACACAGCACUGUGCAAACACGAAAGUGGACGUAUACGGUGUGACGCCUGCCCGGUGCCGGAAGGUUAAUUGAUGGGGUCAGCGCAAGCGAAGCUCUUGAUCGAAGCCCCGGUAAACGGCGGCCGUAACUAUAACGGUCCUAAGGUAGCGAAAUUCCUUGUCGGGUAAGUUCCGACCUGCACGAAUGGCGUAAUGAUGGCCAGGCUGUCUCCACCCGAGACUCAGUGAAAUUGAACUCGCUGUGAAGAUGCAGUGUACCCGCGGCAAGACGGAAAGACCCCGUGAACCUUUACUAUAGCUUGACACUGAACAUUGAGCCUUGAUGUGUAGGAUAGGUGGGAGGCUUUGAAGUGUGGACGCCAGUCUGCAUGGAGCCGACCUUGAAAUACCACCCUUUAAUGUUUGAUGUUCUAACGUUGACCCGUAAUCCGGGUUGCGGACAGUGUCUGGUGGGUAGUUUGACUGGGGCGGUCUCCUCCUAAAGAGUAACGGAGGAGCACGAAGGUUGGCUAAUCCUGGUCGGACAUCAGGAGGUUAGUGCAAUGGCAUAAGCCAGCUUGACUGCGAGCGUGACGGCGCGAGCAGGUGCGAAAGCAGGUCAUAGUGAUCCGGUGGUUCUGAAUGGAAGGGCCAUCGCUCAACGGAUAAAAGGUACUCCGGGGAUAACAGGCUGAUACCGCCCAAGAGUUCAUAUCGACGGCGGUGUUUGGCACCUCGAUGUCGGCUCAUCACAUCCUGGGGCUGAAGUAGGUCCCAAGGGUAUGGCUGUUCGCCAUUUAAAGUGGUACGCGAGCUGGGUUUAGAACGUCGUGAGACAGUUCGGUCCCUAUCUGCCGUGGGCGCUGGAGAACUGAGGGGGGCUGCUCCUAGUACGAGAGGACCGGAGUGGACGCAUCACUGGUGUUCGGGUUGUCAUGCCAAUGGCACUGCCCGGUAGCUAAAUGCGGAAGAGAUAAGUGCUGAAAGCAUCUAAGCACGAAACUUGCCCCGAGAUGAGUUCUCCCUGACUCCUUGAGAGUCCUGAAGGAACGUUGAAGACGACGACGUUGAUAGGCCGGGUGUGUAAGCGCAGCGAUGCGUUGAGCUAACCGGUACUAAUGAACCGUGAGGCUUAACCUU
rnacentral:rRNA from 1 species